rnacentral:lncRNA from 1 species
AAAUUUUUAGUUUUAAUAAAAAAACGAUGUUAUAAGUUUUUAUGAAUGAUUAGUACAAUGCCCAUAUUAAAGUAGUCAAACUAAAAAUGGCCUAACUAUAAUAAAUUAUGAUUUGUCGAUUUUACCCCUAACUUUUUUAGGUUGAGUUCCAGAUUUUCGUCGUUAAUGGAGUUCAUCGUUGUUUUGCUGACAUUCUUCUUUUUCUUUGGAACAAAAAUAUAGAUCCUCAUGCUAUUUAAUUUAUAUUUUGUUUAAUUUUGUUGAAAUGUGGUCGUCGUUAUUAUUCAUAGUGUAUUCGAGGUACUGUUUUUCAAUUUUUCUUCGUCAGUGGAGUUCAACGAAUGUUUCUCCAGAAAAUAAAUUUGAGAUCUGCAUGCUAUUCAAUAAUAACGAAGGGUCACUGUUUUUGGAUUUUAAGUAACACUGUUUCUGGAAUCUAAGUUAUUGUUUCUGGAAUCUAAGUCAUUGUUUCUGGAUCUAAAUGAAAUAGACACACUGUUUCUUAAAUGUAAGCUAGAAAAGAAAUAGUUAAAUUCACUGUAUUUGGAUUCAAAGCAAAAUAAGCACCCUAUUUCUUAAAUAUAAUUAACUGAUGCAUGAAAGAAAAGAAACAGUCAAAGGUUAAAACAUAGACUGUUUCUGGAAUCUAAGUCAUUGUUUCUAAAAUUUAAGUCACUGUUUCUAGAUUUUGGUUAUUUUCUUUCCAGAUACAGUGUUUGUUUGUGCACAGACAAAACAAACAUUGUAUUUGAUUUUUUUUUUUCCAGAAACAAUGUUAUGUUUUGGGUUCUCCAGAGACAAUUUUAUGUUUUAUUAUUUUUUUUCCAGACACUUUUUCGCCGGUUUUUGCUAUUAAACUUCUUUGAACUUGUUUCGACGGCUUUGUUCUGAUGAAUGCUUCAUUUUUCAACUUUGAUUUGGUUGUUUUUGAAAUGGGGGAAUUCGAUUUGAUAGGAAGACAUGGAGUUAUUAUGGCGGUUUCGUGUUGGUUGAGGUUGGUGAAGAGUCAGGACAAUAUCGAAUCAUUUAGGGGUAUUUACGGAAGUGUAGAUUUGUAGCGGGUUUGGCUUGUAAGUUUGACCCAUGGACAAUAGUUUUGGAUGAUUUUUUUUUUAUUAAACUUUGAGCCUUUUUGGUUAAAUAUUUGUUGGCCCAAGCCUUUUUCAUUAAAGCUCCAUUUUAAUUUCUCAUUUAAUUGGUGUACCUUUGCUCAUUGAACUAGCAAUUUAAUUGGUCAUCAGAUUUCUCUAAAUUGCUAAAGGAUUUAUUUUCUGUGGAAUUUUCAGAAACUCGGGUCGUGGGAGGAAGAA